UACGGAGGGGGCUAGCGUUGUUCGGAAUUACUGGGCGUAAAGGGCUCGUAGGCGGCCAACUAAGUCAGACGUGAAAUCCCUCAGCUUAACUGGGGAACUGCGUCUGAUACUGGAUGGCUUGGAUUCGGGAGGGGAAUGCGGAAUUCCAGGUGUAGCGGUGAAAUGCGUUGAUAUCAGGAGGAACACCCAUGGCGAAGGCAGCAAACUGGUCAUCAACUGACGCUGAGGCGCGAAAGCGUGGGUAGCAAACAGG
rnacentral:rRNA from 1 species